rnacentral:rRNA from 1 species
UACGUAGGGUGCAAGCGUUAAUCGGAAUUACUGGGCGUAAAGCGUGCGCAGGCGGCUUUGCAAGCCAGAUGUGAAAUCCCCGGGCUCAACCUGGGAACUGCAUUUGUGACUGCAUCGCUCGAGUGUGGCAGAGGGGGAUGGAAUUCCGCGUGUAGCAGUGAAAUGCGUAGAUAUGCGGAGGAACACCGAUGGCGAAGGCAAUCCCCUGGGCCUGCACUGACGCUCAUGCACGAAAGCGUGGGGAGCAAACAGG